ACAAAAGAGUAUCAGUCCAUGCAUGUGUUGUGCAUUUUGCACAUGCAGCAUCAGUGUCUGCAGCGACCUUGCACAAUCCAGGUCAAACUUUUUGCACCGCUGGAUAAAUCUGGACAUUCUCACCAACUUAAAAAUCAGACACACUCUAUGUAUAUCAUCAUUCACACUAUAUUUAUAAUUUCAUCUUUUUUUUUUAAAAGUCUUUUAAUGAAAGCAAUUCUGAUUCUGAUUCUACAGAAGAAUACUAGCCGUCACUCACUGCUAUACCAUAUGAUGUUUCUUUAGGGGCACCAGCUACGAUUCCUUCAGAAAGAGAGAUGUCCGCUGAAAAAUCACCAUCAUAUAAGUCAGGGCUGCUCAGUUACACAUUCAUUGAAAACAGUAAGCUCAAUCACCUGCGGAGGAGCUGAGGGCGGCACAGGGGACUUUGCAAUGCAAAUGCCAGCACCCCUUGUCCGCCAUCCCCACCUCACCCCCUCUCCCGUGUGUGCCUGCUCCCCUUGCUCCUCUUCCCAACCCCACAAGGACCUUCAUAGGAUGGAGCUGCGCAGUCACAGCUACAACUACAGCAACAACAACAACAAAACCAGGACCCCGGGACCUCGAGGAGGAAAUACUCUGCAGCCCCUCCGCUGUUUUUCGCCUCAUCUUUAGAGAGGAAGGAUGUAUAUUUGACCCGAGCAAAACCUUUAUUUCUGCUUGUGCUAUAGGCUAAUGUAGGGUAGGGAUUGAGGCGCAGUGGUCAAGACUUUUA